rnacentral:rRNA from 1 species
UGUUAAUAAUUUAUAUAAAAUAUUUUGAUGAAUAUUUAUAUAAUAUUAACAUAAUUCAUAUUACUAUAUAUUUUAGUAUAUGAAAUUUUACUUUGAGAAAAUUAGAGUGCUUAAAGCAGGCAUAUGCCUUGAAUACUCCAGCAUGGAAUAAUAUUAAAGAUUUUUAUCUUUCUUAUUGGUUCUAAGAUAAGAAUAAUGAUUAAUAGGGACAGUUGGGGGCAUUUGUAUUUAACAGUCAGAGGUGAAAUUCUUAGAUUUGUUAAAGACAAACUAAUGCGAAAGCAUUUGCCAAGGAUGUUUUCAUUAAUCAAGAACGAAAGUUAGGGGAUCGAAGACGAUCAGAUACCGUCGUAGUCUUAACCAUAAACUAUGCCAACUAGAGAUUGGAGGUUGUU